UGGUGGAAUUGGUAGACACGCUGGUUUUAGGAACCAGUGCUUUAAGCGUGAGGGUUCGAGUCCCUC
rnacentral:tRNA from 1 species